UGAUAUGCCUACAACCUCAUGUUAUCCAACAGAGGCUUAUAAUUUCAUAGUUGUAAGUAUUGGGAAAUGUACUAUUCAGAGUUCAGAGGCAACAAACCCAGAAAAAAAGCAAAGACAAGAAACACAAACACUUUGAACUGUGAAAAUAAUUGAUCUGAAAAAUUUCCAAAUUCUCUAUCUCCAUUUUGUCUUAAUUUUGUUGUUUAUUUAGUUUCUUCAUACCAGACUUCAAAAGUAUUUGUGGUCCUUCCAAUCACUUUCAUCAUUUUCUUUGUUCAGAAGAUGUACAAACAAAAAGCAACUGGCUAAAGUGGUCUAAACUAUUGCUCCAAAGGAAUUAAAGUUUAUUUUAGUAAACUCACUUUUAUGGGGAUGGAAAUGUGUAUCAAUUUCUACAGAAAAAAGACUGACUACACCGUAUGAACUAUUUUGAGACGGUUAGACCAUUUCCUUCCUAUUGUUUUAAUAAAACAA
rnacentral:lncRNA from 1 species